rnacentral:ncRNA from 2 species
AGUUCGUGCUAGGGGUGCCUUUGGCUGAGAGAUGAUUUUAUCAUUAACCCUUUAAACCUGAUCUAGAUAGUACUAGCGUAGGGAAGCUUGAGUGUUUUAAU